CUGAAUAAACUUGAACGAGGAUGAACGCCGAUAUCAGCCGAUAUCGCGAUCGGUAUCUGCGGCUGCUGAAAAAAUCAUGGAGACUCCAUAGAACGCUUAAAUAGUUGAGGUAUAUACACUGGAGCAACUCAAGUGCAUGUGUGACUUUUUGAGAAGAAACCACACAAGGCUGUUGGUUAGCAAUCACCAUGUAAAAGGGUUUGCAGAAACCAGACAGAGAGCCUGUGUGGAGAUGCUAUUGGCUGCCCAGGUCGGACUGCCUCAAACCUGAGGCGGUCUUGGAGUGAUCUAACAAAAGAGUGAAUGAUUAUGCUAGGAAUCAGACAAAGACUGGUGGUAAAGUGAAGCCAAAUAUGGAGAUUGUGCUGGCAGCCAUGAGGGACAAGGCCAAGCAUUGGGUCCAUGGCCAGGAGACAGAGACUGGGGCAUCUGAGCAACUGCUUUCACAUAAGGCAGCCUGCUUCUGGACAUGGGGAAGCCAGAGGAGGAAAAGGAGGUUGAGGCGGAACCUCAAGCUGUUCCCAGGGCACCAUUGACAUCCAGGGUAGAUGGGGUCUAGUUGAUUUUUAGGACACCAAGAUGACACCCAGCAUAAGAGAAGAGAAGGUGCUCUUCCUGUUAUGACCAGCACACCAAGUACCAGGAGCAUGGAUCUGCAGCAAGUUCAGCAGGAGACGCUCAGAAUGCAGCAGUUUGUUAAUGGAAAUCAGUAGUAACAUUGAACAAUGCAACUUCCUCUCCAUUUUUUUUAAAACUGGAAACCUGUUGAAUAUUGUUUUUAGAAAAUGAAGUAAAUCACCUUGAACUUUGGAAAUUUCCAAAAGCAUAUAUUUUAGCAAGUAAUAUGAAAAUGAGUUAUACCUUGGUCACAUUUGGUGGCCUUACGGCAAGUCAAAAUCAGUCGUUUUAUGUAUUACUAUACGAACCACCUACAUGAAGCUGGUACAAGGAUGAGUAAAAUGGUUGAUUUCGACUCGCCAUAAUGCCACCGGCGAAUGUGACCUAGGCAUAAGUUGUUGAUGUCAUUGCCUCAUAAUUUUGAACAAAAAGUGACAAAGACUACAUUCUUCAGGAUUGAGAAAGUUAAACUUGAUCUUUAUUCUCAUCUCAGUAGAUAGAAGAUAAUGUUAUUCAUUCAAUACUGCGGUAGAAUUUGAACAAAUGCCUUGCAAUGCAACAUAAAAAUUUAGGUUUUGAAAUCUUGAUGGGAAUCCCUGUGCAAGAACAGUUUUAAAGUUUAUUUAUACAUGUUCAUAUUGCAAGUCUAUUAUAUGAUCUGUCAGCAUUGUUUGUGGAUCUCACACUGGUGUCAUUAGCCAUAGUUCCAAUCUUACGCCAUCUGCAAAACAUUUUCCAAGGGUACUGUUAUGUUGAUUUAAAAGAAAAGGGACCUUGUCAACAUUCAAUCACAUCUUUCAAUACGCAUAUAAGGGUAUGGGAUACUGCAUUGAAAUUAAAAUAUGACUUGAUAAAAAUUAUUUUCAAUUAAAUUAAAAGUAUUAUAAUGGUUCAUAACAA